UUGGAGGGCAAGUCUGGUGCCAGCAGCCGCGGUAAUUCCAGCUCCAAUAGCGUAUAUUAAAGUUGUUGCAGUUAAAAAGCUCGUAGUUGAAUUUCGGGAUCAGUAUGUUGGUCGUGCUUCGGUACGUACUGUCAUUACUGGUUUCUCCCUUCUGAAGAACCUUGAUGUCAUUAAUUUGGUGUCUUGGGGAAUCAGGACUGUUACUUUGAAAAAAUUAGAGUGUUUAAAGCAGGC
rnacentral:rRNA from 2 species